AAGUCGUAACAAGGUUUCCGUAGGUGAACCUGCGGAAGGAUCAUUAACAAAUCAUGCGCUGGCCUUUGGGCCGCGUACAUACACCCUAAGCCUAGGCUUCGGCCUGGCUUUCGGUUCAGGCUGUCCGCAAGGAUGGCCGACAUAGACGCUUGUAUGUUUGACAGUUUUAGUUGGAAUCAAAAAUGACAACUUUUAACAAUGGAUCUCUUGGCUCUU
rnacentral:misc_RNA from 1 species